rnacentral:rRNA from 1 species
GACGGAGGGUGCAAGCGUUGUUCGGAAUUACUGGGCGUAAAGGGCGCGUAGGCGGUCUGUUAAGUUCGGUGUGAAAGCCCCCGGCUCACCUGGGGAACUGCGCCGGAAACCGACAGACUCGAGUACCGGAGAGGAGGGUGGAAUUCCUGGUGUAGCGGUGAAAUGCGUAGAUAUCAGGAGGAACACCGGUGGCGAAGGCGGCCCUCUGGACGGAUACUGACGCUGAGGCGCGGAAGCGUGGGGAUCAAACAGG